rnacentral:rRNA from 1 species
GGACAAUCUACCCUUCGGUGGGGGAUAAUCUUGGGAAACUGAGAAUAAUACCCCAUAGGUCUAGGAUGCUGGAAUGCUUCUAAACUGAAAGUUUCGACGCCGAAGGAUGAGUCUGCGGCCUAUCAGGUUGUAGCAAGUGUAACGCACUUGUUAGCCUACAACGGGUACGGGCCAUGAGAGUGGUUGCCCGGAGAUGGACUCUGAGACAUGAGUCCAGGCCCUACGGGGCGCAGCAGGCGCGCAAACUUCGCAAUGUGCGCAAGCACGACGAGGGAAUCCUAAGUGCCUAUGCUUUGCAUAGGCUGUUCUCCUGUCUAAAAAACAGGGGGAGUAAGGGCUGGGUAAGACGGGUGCCAGCCGCCGCGGUAAUACCCGCAGCCCAAGUGGUGAUCGUUAUUAUUGGGUUUAAAAUGUCCGUAGCUGGUCUAGUAAAUUCCUGGGUAAAUCGAAUUGCUUAACAAUUCGAAUUCCGGGUGGACUGCUAGACUUGGGACCGGAAGAGGUCAGAAGUACUUCUGGGGUAGGGGUAAAAUCCUGUAAUCCUGGAGGGACUAUCAGUGGCGAAAUUUCGGAAGCAAAUCUUCCUCAUUUAUCGUUGCUUCCGCAACGCUAAGGCGUCUGACUAGAACGGAUCCGACAGUAAGGGACGAAGCCCUGGGGCGCAAACGGGAUUAGAUACCCCGGUAGUCCAGGGUGUAAACGCUGUAGGCUUGGUGUUGGGGGUCCUAUGAGGACAUCCAGUGCCGGAGAGAAAUUGUUAAGCCUACUACCUGGGGAGUACGGUCGCAAGACUGAAACU